UUGCAAUGAUGUGUGAAUUUCUUCACCUGAAUCUCUUUGUGAUGAUCACAAAACGAGCUUUUUAAAACUGAGCAAA